rnacentral:misc_RNA from 1 species
UCGACACCAGGACUUUGCGCAUCGACACAGGGCUCUCGCUUUCUGCCUCACGGCGGGCUGCGGUGCCUCAGAGAGUAUGCUGUGCGGAGUUUGCAACAACUCAACUCUUGGACCUCUACAGUCUGGGUUGGCCCGUCUGCUGGCCGCACAUGUCUGGUGGAUAGCCAUUGCUUUGCCACCUCUCCUCAACCUUACCU